rnacentral:rRNA from 2 species
AAAAACAUCGCCUCUUGCAUAACCACAGUAUAAGAGGUCCCGCCUGCCCAGUGACAACUUAGUUCAACGGCCGCGGUAUUUUGACCGUGCAAAGGUAGCGUAAUCACUUGUCUUUUAAAUGAAGACCUGUAUGAAUGGCAUAACGAGGGCUUAACUGUCUCCUUCCCCUGGUCAAUGAAAUUGAUCUCCCCGUGCAGAAGCGGGGAUAAAACCAUAAGACGAGAAGACCCUAUGGAGCUUUAGACACACAGGUGGACCAUGUCAAAUACCCCCAGCUAAGGGCCUGAACUAAAUGGAACCUGCCUUGAUGUCUUCGGUUGGGGCGACCAUGGGGAAUACAAAACCCCCACGUGGAAAGGGAGCACACCCCUAAGUUACUUCUUCUCCCGCAAGCCAGAGCAACAGCUCUAACAAGCAGAAAUUCUGACCAAACUGAUCCGGUAAAACCGAUCAACGAACCAAGUUACCCUAGGGAUAACAGCGCAAUCCCCUUUUAGAGCCCAUAUCGACAAGGGGGUUUACGACCUCGAUGUUGGAUCAGGACAUCCUAAUGGUGCAGCCGCUAUUAAGGGUUCGUUUGUUCAACGAUUAAAGUCCUACGUGAUCUGU